rnacentral:rRNA from 1 species
CUGGGGUACCCCGAAGAGAUUUGGCCUUUGGCACAUGAGAACCCGAACCCGGGAGGCGCAUGGCUGUCGUCAUCUGGAGAUGUGAGAUGUAGGGUCAUCUCCAGCAACAAGCGUAACCCUUGUCAUCAGCUGGUUAGAAAGGGCACUCUAAGGAGACUGCCGGUGACAAACCGGAGGAAGGUGGGGAUGACGUCAAGUCAUCAUGGCCCUUAUGGCUAGGGCUUCACACGUCAUACAAUGGUCGGGACAAAGGGUCGCCAAGCCGCGAGGGGGAGCCAAUCCCAGAAACCCGAUCGUAGUCCGGAUCGCAGUCUGCAACUCGACUGCGUGAAGUCGGAAUCGCUAGUAAUCGCGGAUCAGCAUGUCGCGGUGAAUACGUUCCCGGGUCUUGUACACACCGCCCGUCACACCAUGGGAGUGGGUUUUUCCAGAAGUAGUUUACUCUAAACGCAAGGGGGGCGAUACCACGUUGUAUAA